rnacentral:rRNA from 1 species
AUUGAACGCUGGCGGCAUGCCUUACACAUGCAAGUCGAACGGCAGCACGGGUGCUUGCACCUGGUGGCGAGUGGCGAACGGGUGAGUAAUACAUCGGAACAUGUCCUGUAGUGGGGGAUAGCCCGGCGAAAGCCGGAUUAAUACCGCAUACGAUCUACGGAUGAAAGCGGGGGACCUUCGGGCCUCGCGCUAUAGGGUUGGCCGAUGGCGGAUUAGCUAGUUGGUGGGGUAAAGGCCUACCAAGGCGACGAUCAGUAGCUGGUCUGAGAGGACGACCAGCCACACUGGGACUGAGACACGGCCCAGACUCCUACGGGAGGCAGCAGUGGGGAAUUUUGGACAAUGGGCGAAAGCCUGAUCCAGCAAUGCCGCGUGUGUGAAGAAGGCCUUCGGGUUGUAAAGCACUUUUGUCCGGAAAGAAAUCCUUGGACCUAAUACGGUCGGGGGAUGACGGUACCGGAAGAAUAAGCACCGGCUAACUACGUG